rnacentral:rRNA from 1 species
UUGCGNNUGGGCGAAGCCUGACGCAGCGACGCCGCGUGGGUGAUGAAGGCCUUCGGGUCGUAAAACCCUGUCGGGUGGAACGAAUCUUCGUCCCGCGAAUACCGGGACGGAUUGACGGUACCACCGAAGGAAGCCCCGGCUAACUACGUGCCAGCAGCCGCGGUAAUACGUAGGGGGCGAGCGUUGUUCGGAUUUACUGGGCGUAAAGAGCGCGUAGGCGGUUCGAUAAGUCGGAGGUGAAAUCCCUCGGCUCAACCGAGGACCCGCGUCCGAUACUGUUGAACUUGAGUGCAGGAGAGGAGAGCGGAAUUCCCAGUGUAGCGGUGAAAUGCGUAGAUAUUGGGAGGAACACCGGUGGCGAAGGCGGCUCUCUGGACUGUUACUGACGCUGAGGCGCGAAAGCUAGGGGAGCAAACGGGAUUAGAUACCCCGGUAGUCCUAGCCGUAAACGAUGAUCACUAGCUGUUGGCGAUAGACCGAUCAGCGGCAAAGCGAAAGCAUUAAGUGAUCCACCUGGGGAGUACGGUCGCAAGAUUGAAACUCAAAAAAAUUGACGGA